rnacentral:rRNA from 1 species
UACGUAGGUGGCAAGCGUUGUCCGGAUUUAUUGGGUUUAAAGGGUGCGUAGGCAGCUUUGUAAGUCAGUGGUGAAAUAUGGCAGCUCAACUGUCAAGGUGCCAUUGAUACUGCAGAGCUUGAGUACAGAUGAGGUAGGCGGAAUUGACGGUGUAGCGGUGAAAUGCUUAGAUAUCGUCAAGAACACCUAUAGCGAAGGCAGCUUACUAGGCUGUAACUGACGCUGAGGCACGAAAGUGUGGGGAUCAAACAGG